rnacentral:rRNA from 1 species
GUGAACCUGCGGAAGGAUCAUUAACGAGUUAGGGUCUCUCUGGCCCGACCUCCCAACCCUUUGUCUACUUGACCAUCGUUGCUUCGGCGAGCCCGUCCUCACGGACCGCCGGAGGGAUCUUUACUGGCCCUCUGGUCCGCGCUCGUCGGUAGCCCAACCUUUAAAAUCUUUAACUAAACGUGCCUUAAUCUAAGUACAAUUAUUAAAUAAAAGCAAAACUUUCAACAACGGAUCUCUUGGUUCUGGCAUCGAUGAAGAACGCAGCGAAAUGCGAUAAGUAAUGCGAAUUGCAGAAUUCCAGUGAGUCAUCGAAUCUUUGAACGCACAUUGCGCCCUUUGGUAUUCCGAAGGGCAUGCCUGUUCGAGCGUCAUUAUCACCCCUCAAGCCCUCGGCUUGGUGUUGGACGGUUUGGUGGAGGCCCCCUCGGGGGCUCCUGCCCCUCCCAAAGACAAUGACGGCGGCCUCGUUGGACCCCCGGUACACUGAGUUCUUCACGGGACACGUAUCGGACACAUGGGUUUACGGGACACGGUCUGCCUCCCCUCAGGGAGAAUCUUUCUAAGGUUGACCUCGGAUCAGGUAGGGAUACCCGCUGAACUUAA